CCCGCCUUAACUCAGUGGUAGAGUGCGCGGCUGUAGUCACCGCGAUGUCCCCGGUUCGAGUCUGGGAGGCGGGA
rnacentral:tRNA from 2 species